rnacentral:rRNA from 1 species
CCUACGGGUGGCAGCAGUAGGGAAUCUUUCACAAUGGGCGAAAGCCUGAUGGAGCAACGCCGCGUGCAGGAUGAAGGCCUUCGGGUUGUAAACUGCUUUUAUAAGCGAGAAAUAUGAUGUUAACUUAUGAAUAAGGAUCGUCUAACUACGUGCCAGCAGCCGCGGUCAUACGUAGGAUCCGAGCAUUAUCCGGGGUGACUGGGUGUAAAGAGUUGCGUAGGUGGCAUAGUAAGUAGCUAGUGAAAUCUGGUGGCUCAACCAUUCAGACUAUUAGCUAAACUGGUAAGCUCGAGACCGUUAGGGGUAACUGGAAGUUCUAGUGUAGGAGUGAAAUCCGUAGAUAUUAGAAGGAACACCAAUAGCGUAGGCAGGUUGCUGGGACGGUUCUGACACUAAGGCACGAAAGCGUAGGGAGCAAACGGGAUUAGAUACCCGAGUAGUC